UUAGAUAAUUUUAGUUGUAUUUCUUUGUAAUUUUGUGUUGUACAAAGAUUAAUUUAACAUUUUCUCUGGAAGUAUUAAUUUAGAAAGAUAAUAUGCUUCAUUGGUGUUGUGUUUUGAAGUAGUGUGAAAUGCAAAGUAAUUGUGAUAGAGUCAAGAUAAAGUUCACUUUUAAACUGAACUAAAUAAGGUAUCUGAGAGACAACAAUGGUUAAAUGCAAUACAAUGUACAGGUUUUACUAGCGAAAUGAAAAUUUUCCUGUCCUGUCUGCUGUAAUCAUUUUAUAUCUGGAAAACCAGCCGACUUAAUCGAUAAUAACAAUCUCCAGAUUGGGUUCCUUCAAUAAAUAUGGGCUAUAAACACAAUGAAAUAAGUUCCCCAAAAUCUAAAAUGGAGUGGUAUCAAAGGAGAAUUAAAGGAAAAAAUAUUCAUAUUGAAAUUAUUUAUAAGGCACUGGACUGUCUUAAAUUCUACAACAAUACUAGAAUCAGCUGAGAGAAGUGGUCUACAAAAAACCAGGAAGGAAACGGAAUAUGUGGCUACGAAAGGCAAAAGAAAGGUUUACAAAGCAAAUGUGACACAUUUUUUUGAAAUAUUUAGGAAUAUCAGUAAAUUGCAUUAAAAAAAUGUAUGAAAAGAUUUUGUUCAAUAAAAAUGUUUAUAUUUA